GACGAACGCUGGCGGCGUGCCUAAUACAUGCAAGUAGAACGCACAGUUUAUACCGUAGCUUGCUACACCGUAGACUGUGAGUUGCGAACGGGUGAGUAACGCGUAGGUAACCUGCCUGGUAGCGGGGGAUAACUAUUGGAAACGAUAGCUAAUACCGCAUAAUAUUAAUUAUUGCAUGAUAAUUAAUUGAAAGGUGCAAUUGCACCACUACCAGAUGGACCUGCGUUGUAUUAGCUAGUAGGUGAGGUAACGGCUCACCUAGGCGACGAUACAUAGCCGACCUGAGAGGGUGAUCGGCCACACUGGGACUGAGACACGGCCCAGACUCCUACGGGAGGAAGCAGUAGGGAAGCUUCGGCAAUGGACGAAAGUCUGACCGAGCAACGCCGCGUGAGGGAAGAAGGUUGUCGGAUCGUAAAGCUCUGUUGUAAGAGAAGAACGGGUGUGAGAGUGGAAAGUUCACACUGUGACGGUACCUUACCAGAAAGGGACGGCUAACUACGUG
rnacentral:rRNA from 1 species